UGCCUCAGCCCUGCACAAUGCUACGCACCCGCUGUCUGCUGCAGGCUGGGGGCUGCAGCUCUCGCUUGCCUGGUGCAGGACCAGCGGCAAGCAGAGCUGUGGGACGGGGAGAGGCCAAGCCCCAUCCCCACUCCCCCCCAGGGAAGGCAGAAAGGAGGAAAAGGCGAGCCAUUUUACGGAGGGAAACCCUCGGUUAUUACAAAGGGAGUUUCCCCCCACGGCUCCAGGACCGUCUCCUGAGUUAGUCGGGGUAGCGCCACGCCGAUGAUCCCGGUUCCAUAGAUACCGAUGCCAUGACAACUCUGACAUCAUCCCUGCCCGGACGGCAACUGCAGGGGAAGCGGCGGAGAGCAGCACGCAUGCACGGCUGGCACCGCAUGCACGGCUGGCACCGAGCGGGGCUGCGGGCAGGGCCGGGGGCUUCGUGCGGCCCCACCACAGCUCGCCCCCAGCCUGCUGCCUGGGCAGCUCCCUGCCCCUCUGGGGACAGGGAUGUAGCUGGGACCACACUGGAUCGCACGGGGUACACGCGUAGCAGGCGUGUUAAGCCCUUGCAAUGCAAAAUGCCCCAAAAAGCAAAGAAUUCUUGGGUGCUGGGCCUCGUCUCCAAGCUCAAAGCUUGGCCUUUUGCACCUUUGUCUGCCUGUUCUUUCUGGCAGGUGGGACCAGGUUUAACUGUUAAAGCUCACGAUGAUGCCAUCCAGUUUCUCAAUUACAGGGGUAAGCACACAGACACGGUGACCUUGAGGAAACAAGAUGCGGGGCCUUCACCUUCAGAACCAGUUUGAGUCAGCCCCAUCCAUCCGGCUAAGGGCUGACUUCGGCUACCUCCACAGAGGGAAGAGUGGCAAUGGGUUUUCAAGGGCACACGACUGCGCAUAACCAGUUUUUGAAAGCUCCCCAAGCUACCCGCUGUAAGCUGACCGCCUGCGAGCAGUGCUGGUGCCAUUCUGCGAAGCAGAACUUUAUUUGCAAAAAUCUUCAAGCAGACUGAGGCCAACGCAUCCUGCUCCACAACGCCUGAUCCUGGGAUCGGGACCUGACCACGGGGAGUCCGGCAAGGGGCGAGAUGAGUUAACGCCAGUUCUUCCAGCAAGGCUGAUCAGAUGGUCUCUGCAGGGGAGGGCAGCAGUGGGACACCCCAAUUUUGCAAACCAAACAACCGCUUGGCUACAGCUUCUACUUAACAACUCCAAAGCCAAACACCGAUGCGAAACCGCCCAGCCCUUGGAACUGCUUCGGCGACAUAUUUAUAGUAAAGCUGCCUCAGAACAGGACAACGAGCUGGCAGCAGGCAUUCUGCAGCACGGCCCAAGGGGGACAAGCAGCCUUCGCCCGCGGUUUACAGCCCAUCAACCGCAGCACUUCCAUACGGCCUGAUGUCUUUUAUACAGGCGUAGGUGGUGAAAGAGCUUGCCCUUUACGUCGCUUGAAUGGCGUGCUUGGAGCAGUGCUUUUGCUGUACAUUCAUUUACUUGUUGCUCUGAAAUGCUUUGCUGGGCAUUCAUUAGGGUUUGGCUAAUACUGCUCUCAGCCAUUAGGCUCUAGAAAACAGGACGCUCAGGGGCAUUAUUUUUGAGAGGUACUGAGAAAUUCACAGCGUGCAGUAACAGAGAGAAUGGCCUUCCUGAUUAGCAAUACCUUUGAACGCCAUUACUAAGAAAGCUACCUCAUGCCCUCCACCCUAAGAGAUCCAAAAAUAUCUGGAAGUUCAUUUAUUAGGUGGCUACACACCCAUAUCUGAAACGCAGCCAUUUCUCAGGUGGGAUUCAGCAGUUACCGUGCAAGUAUAAACUCAAGAUAAACACGCCAUAAAAAAAUGCAGAAAAUUUGACUAACUGAAGUCACCAGGGGAAGAUUUGGAUGGUGGAAUUCAAUUAAUUAAGAUGGCGUUUGUUUAGAACAGAAGAGUUAAUAUCUCAGCACUUGCAUAAGAAACGAACUGCACAAAACCCCUACCGGGUUUCAAAAUGCUUUCCAGUGGCGCAAUUGCAAGCGCGAUGUCUUAUCUGCUAAACUUAUUCUUUGCUUCUUCUCAAAGUAUUUCAUAGCAAACCAGUAAUCGCACCUGUUUCAGCACCCAGGCUGAACUCUACGUGAAGGUGCACAAACACCUCGGAAAGUGCUAGACAAGAGGGAAAUCAGAUCCCUGGCUGUUUUCCAAACUGACCUCCUUAGCACCACAACAAGGAGUCACAUCGUGUAGAGCCUGACCAAAGCGUUGACUUUGGUGCUUGUCAUCUGCUACCUGCUUGGCGUUGUAGCUAAGAAGGCAAGGUAACGAGAGCAGAGCUGACAGCUACAAGGACACGGGGCAGCCUCAGAGCAGCUCAGGCCAUGCUCUGACACGCACAGCUUCUGCGGCUCUCAUUUGAGACACGUCCAGCUCUGCUUCCAAAGGAGCUCUCCCAGCUCAGCCAUUCCGUUAUCGUUUCUCCCCGUGUUGCACAACACUGCAAGAUUCACAGUGCAAGUUCUGGGGGAAAAAAGGGUCCUGAUGUUUGCACAGCAAACGUGGUAUUUGUAGUACGAUAUUGAAAAUGAGGAACACCUCGUUUCUUAACUGAACACAGCAAAUAUCAACCGGGUCCUUGGAUUCUAAAGAAAGAUGUAACCUGACAUAAAGGAGAUUUGAGAGACAGAUUAAGAUGAGAGAUUUUUAUUAUAAUGAACAAUCAUGGGCCCAGGACUGUGCAGUGCAAACACAAUCUCUGUCAGGGAGGCCAUUUUAUUGUCAUCUAAAUAGAAAACACAGGAAAAGGCUGGUGAACCUGCUAUUUUUAUCCCCAUUUUGCAGAAGUGGAAGUGCAGCUACAGAAGAUGAAGCGACUUACCUAGAGCCUAGCAAGAAGCCUAUGGUCAAUGAAGAACUGAACUUCUGAGUCUCCAGCCACGUGUUGUAGCCGUAUGAGCCUCACCUUGUGUAUCUUGCGCAGGGCGUUAUCUUUUACCCCCUCUAAGAAGCACCACACGAAGCACAGCCGCAGCAUCCACUUUUUCACAUUACUGCUAGCUAGAUGUCAGUGAUAGGGGAAGCAGGGAAAGCUUGGCUUUGCCUGACCAAACUUGGUGUUCAAAAGGAAAGUCCCCUAGCAUCGACUUGAGUUUAGAGCUAAAGCUUGGUGUUCUGGAUAAAACAGAAGCUUUGAGGGAAUGCAUGAAAUAGCUGCCUGGUGUCCACUGUGAGAAAGACAGCAAUUUAACUCAGCUGUUUCCUUUCUUGCAGAUGUGCAAAUUCAAAGCAAAGCUCCCAUGAAACUUCUUGGGAUUUAUUUCUGUAUCUUGCCAUGCAGAAAGGCCGGUUGCAUCCCUGUCUCUCAACAGCAACAGUGUUGUUAAAGUCCUAACUGUCCUCUGAUCUUCUUUCCAAACCCUCUUUUUUCCAUAAAGCAUUCAGAGUAGAUGACAACUGCAUCAAACAAUCUUGAUCCUCCUGACUAAAAUUCUCAUGACUGCGUAUGUUUGCCCUUACCUGUGUUUGCUCUGUGCAAAACUCCACUGGUGCUUAGGCUGUAAGUGCCUUGCUACUCUGCUCUCCUCUGGUUUUGUACCUAGAACAGUUCACGGUGAAAGCAAGUACUGUCCUGUGUUACACAAACAGUGCUCUGUAUAAGGAAGUGACUGUUACAAAAUUAUCAGAUAAAGCUCCUUUACCCUCUCCCAUCUGUUAACUGCUUGUUUGAAAAGCCAAGAUUUAUCCACAUACACCCAGUUAUGGGCUGAAGAGCAGGUAGGAAGCAAGCUGGAAAUAGCAUCCAGGCAGCGGUUUAUUACACUUCCAAGUGCAGACUUUAGCUGCUGGCAAAAAAGUAACAUCUCUCAUCUGUGCAAUUAUAGAAGAAGUACUGCACACAGCCACUAGUUUGAGAAGUAACUGAAGUCACCAAAAUCUCAUGCAACACGCAAAAGGACUGGAGCAGCUUGCUAUUUUAAAGAAGUGCAAGAAAGAAAUGGUAAAGCCAAAUAAAUACAAGCUUUGUUGCCCUCUACUGUUUACUUGGUUAAGAUGCAAAGCAAAUUUUCUUCACAGCCAACAGAGAUCUGGGAAGAACACUGCGGUAACAGACAAGAGAAACCAAAAAGCUAGAGGGUACCUGAUAUUUGGGAGGGAAAACCUGAGACCAAGAGGAAACUUCUACAUUGGGAGUGCUGUAAAGGAAACUCAACAACCCAGAGUAGCACAGAAACAGAGGGCACCUUUCAGCAGCAAGGUCACAGGAGCAGAACUCAGCAGGCCUGAGUGCCAGGGCCACUGCCUAGAGCGUGCCAGCUGCUGUGAGCCCAGACAAGUGCCAGGGUGACUGUCAGGGCUGUACCAGCUAACAUCCAUUAGGCCAGCAUGCGCAGACAGGAUUGCCACACGUCAAUGCGAACAGAAAGUUUCAAAGCCUGGCAGAUAAACAUUAGUGCUGCUUGUUUGUCUUUGCUUCUGCAGACAUUAAUUACAAAAAUGAAGAACUGAGAGCAAUGCCAGAUGCCAGUGUCAGGACGGAUAAGGGUGCUGAGUCCCAUUGAUCCUCAGCUGGUAAGAACCAACCUUUGUCGCAGAGUUUUGUGGCCUGCAGUGUUUUCUGACUUGCAGCAGACUACGCUGCAUCCCAACUACCACCAGCUCUCAGCUCCCUCAGCUGUGAAUUAAUCGUGGAUUGCUGCAGACACCCGAGCUGUCUCCGUGUGAGCUGGCGAGGAAACAGCAGUGGUGUUCCCACACACCUCCCUGCGGGACGUGCCAACCCAGGUCAGUGCUCCAGCUGACCACAGUGCUGACCCCUUCCCUCUGACAGUCCUGUCUUUCUAACUGACGGCUUGCCUAUGUGCUGGUAGCUGUGGUUUUGCUUAACUUGCUUGAUUUCCAUUCUCUUAUUAAACCACAAAAUCAAGAGCUGACUUCACACAACCUUAUUGACAGUUUCUACUGACGUGCUUCCUCCUGACUACAGAAAACACUGAGCAGCUCCUCUCCAUCGCUCAGACAAAAAGCCUGAACAACCAUUCCAGGAGUGGAAAAAAAAAUGCUGCUAGGACGGGGAAAAACAAACAAACCCACUACCCUCUCCAAGCCUGAAAAACCCCAACAGGAAGAAAUAUCACACACGACCUGUAAUAGGCUGGAGACACAUGCAAGCAAAGCCACUCCUGAGGAUCAUACUGUAAACAGGAGACUGUAUACACCCGACACACUGCAAAGGAACAGCUAAUCCCUGGAAAAAUGUUAAAGGCACAGUGCUGCUUCCGUCAACAUCUGCACUUGCCACUUACUCAAGCAACUCUGCCUCCCAUUCAUGAAGAAAAUUCCCUCGUGGCUCCCUGCUCUUUGCUUUUAGGAAAAAAAAAAGUCAGCUAUGAAUGGAACCCAGUUUGUGAAAUCAGUAAGUCCUCUGACAAGCUGAAAGGUUAGCCAGGUGCCUAGUACACAGAGCAGCUCUUGAGUAAGUUCUGAGAAGCUCCUCAAGCAGCACCUGCUGCUGACUGUGCUUAUCUUGCAAGGGUUCCUCGUGUUGAUAGGAAGCAGCUUCCCCUUUCUGUCCGUGCAUGGCCGUGCAGCGACUAUGCAGUUAACAAGCAUCGCCCUCCAGUGGGUGACACCCCCAACUGCCAUCUUGCUCAAAUUCAGCAGGAUUUGAGCUACUCCCAACUGUAAUGCUACCUUCAAUGCUGUUAGAAGCACAGCACAGAAAAUCCCCCCCCAGUCCCCAGACAAACUCUGACCUGACGGACAAGGACCUGGUCUACGUCGCUGCUGUUUUGUAGCUUCAUGUUCUGAAGAGAAUUGCAGCAAUUCAGCAGCACAACGGAAAAAGAACCGGUUGCAGCCCCACCUUGUCUGAUCAAUACACACACACAGAAUCACACAACCUCGGCUGAGCUCCGUAAGAUAUCGGCAUGCAGACGGUUGGACGCGCCAGCGCACCGCGAUGGCUUUCCAUAAGGCCUCAUGCAGUAGGGAAGCCAGGAACGAACUCAGUUGCUUUAUUAUUUUCACAUAAACAGGAAACGUAAUUUGAAUACAGAUUUUUUUUGAACUAGAUUUAAUCAAGUGCAUUUAGGAGAGAAUUCACAAUUUCCCCUUCUUUUUAUGUACACAAAUACAAAUAUCUUCAAUAGAAAUUCCAUAUAUAAGAUUAAAACUUUAGAUGUGUUAUAAACGAGCAGCAAAAAAAUAAAUCCUUUCUUGGACAGUCAAGUCCACAGAGAUGUUAUGCCUGAAAAACACACAAGUUAAAGCUCUUCUGCAAAGCCAUAAACAGGAGAGAACAGAGAACUCAAGCACGUAUUUUACCAAAUGGCCACUUAGCAAAGUUACAAACGGCCCUAGUAACAUCCUGGUAGCCACAGCUCGUGGCCUCAUUGUAAGCAGGCAUUUGCUACGGACACUGGCUUCGGUUUAAAGCUCUUCCCCUACCUCUGCACCACUGCCAGGACAGCGAAACGGUACACGCUGGCAGAAGGGGCCUUUCCUUCUGCACAGGCCUACCACCUCCUUGAACAAUACCAAGGGACAAAAAUUUGGUGUUGCCACAGCCGCUCCCUCCGCUUUUGAGAGGGAUACACAAUUUGUUUCCUCUCCACACUCUUUCAAGACGUGGACAGAGGCACGGCGGAAGGCUGCCAUCCUCCCGCCCAUCACCAGCCCCUUGCCUGCAAACGGCAGCAGCAGUCCUGGGACUUGCCAGCAGAGACCACGUGUGCUUGCACAAACAAGUGCAACUCUAACCUGGCCCAUUUUCAGCACUAAGAUGAAAUAGGACAAGACAGGUGCUUUACCAGCCUCCACAUUUAUACUGAAGCAAAUUAGCAAGAAAUCUCAUAACCUGCUCCCAUGAGCAAUGAAAUUGUUGAGGGCAGAUUAGAAAGGAACAGAAAAAUGAUCCCUUAGGACAACCACGUCCAGCAGAAAAUGCUUGUCCACAUCCAUUGGCAAUUUAGGCCAAGCCUGACAAAAGGGGGCUACAGCCUUUUUGUUGGUCCUCACCGCACUAGUGGAUACCUACGUGCUUCAUUUUGGGAAUUGAGUUCAUUACU